GUGUUCGUUGAAAGGAGAGACGGUUGGCAUCUCCCCUGACAGGGACGGUAACAGUUUUCGAGCUUUCCAAUCACACAUCCGGUUAAGGCUACCUACUUCGGUGGAUCUUAUACCCCAUUUUUUU